UACGUAGGGGACAAGCGUUGUCCGGAUUCAUUGGGCGUAAAGAGCGUGUAGGCGGCCAGGUAGGUCGGUUGUGAAAACUGGAGGCUCAACCUUCAGAGGUCGACCGAAACCAUCUGGCUAGAGUCCGGGAGAGGAGAGUGGAAUUCCUGGUGUAGCGGUGAAAUGCGCAGAUAUCAGGAAGAACACCCGUGGCGAAAGCGGCUCUCUGGAACGGUACUGACGCUGAGACGCGAAAGCGUGGGGAGCGAACAGG
rnacentral:rRNA from 1 species